rnacentral:siRNA from 1 species
AUCUCUUCCAUGUACGCUGCCAUU